AUGCAGUCGAACGGUAGCACAGAGAGCUUGCUCUCGGGGGACGAGUGGCGGACGGGGGAGUAAUGUCUGGGAAACUGCCUGAUGGAGGGGGAUAACUACUGGAAACGGUAGCUAAUACCGCAUAACGUCGCAAGACCAAAGAGGGGGACCUUCGGGCCUCUUGCCAUCAGAUGUGCCCAGAUGGGAUUAGCUAGUAGGGGGGGUAACGGCUCACCUAGGCGACGAUCCCUAGCUGGUCUGAGAGGAUGACCAGCCACACUGGAACUGAGACACGGUCCAGACUCCUACGGGAGGCAGCAGUGGGGAAUAUUGCACAAUGGGCGCAAGCCUGAUGCAGCCAUGCCGCGUGUAUGAAGAAGGCCUUCGGGUUUUAAAGUACUUUCAGCGGGGAGGAAGGGGUUUUGGUUAAUAACCGCAGCAAUUGACGUUACCCGCAGAAGAAGCACCGGCUAACUCCGUGCCAGCAGCCGCGGUAAUACGGAGGGGGCAAGCGUUAAUCGGAAUUACUGGGCGUAAAGCGCACGCAGGCGGUCUGUCAAGUCGGAUGUGAAAUCCCCGGGCUCAACCUGGGAACUGCAUUCGAAACUGGCAGGCUAGAGUCUUUUAGAGGGGGGUAGAAUUCCAGGGGUAGCGGGGAAAUGCGUAGAGAUCUGGAGGAAUACCGGGGGCGAAGGCGGCCCCCUGGACAAAGACUGACGCUCAGGGGCGAAAGCGUC
rnacentral:rRNA from 1 species